AGAGUUUGAUCAUGGCUCAGAUUGAACGCUGGCGGUAUGCUUAACACAUGCAAGUCGAACGGUAACAGGAAAAGCUUGCUUUUCGCUGACGAGUGGCGGACGGGUGCGUAAUGCGUAGGAAUCUGCCUAGUAGUGGGGGACAACUCGGAGAAAUUCGAGCUAAUACCGCAUAAGCCCUACGGGGGAAAACGGGGGAUCUUCUGACCUCGUGCUAUUAGAUGAGCCUACGUUAGAUUAGCUUGUUGGUGAGGUAAAAGCUCACCAAGGCGACGAUCUAUAGCUGGUCUGAGAGGAUGAUCAGCCACACUGGGACUGAGACACGGCCCAGACUCCUACGGGAGGCAGCAGUGGGGAAUAUUGGACAAUGGGCGAAAGCCUGAUCCAGCAAUACCGCGUGUGUGAAGAAGGCCUGAGGGUUGUAAAGCACUUUCAAUUGGGAGGAAUACUUAAUGGUUAAUAGCCAUUAGAUGACAUUAC
rnacentral:rRNA from 1 species